rnacentral:misc_RNA from 1 species
AACCUUAUGGACCUGCGGGCGUAUACCUGCGGAGGGAUCAUUACGUAUUAGGGCUGCCUCUGGCGCUCUUUACACACCCACCCAUUGCCUAUGCGUACCUCUGAUAGCUUCCUCGGCGGGCUCGCCCCGCCGAUAGGAACCCCCAUAACCCUCUGCAUCGUACACGAAAACUUCCGAUACCCACCUAAAUUAUCACAACUUUCAGCAAUGGAUCU